ACAGAAGUACAUCUGUUUUGAAGGCCAACUGACCUACAUUUCGUUUUUGGAAUGUGUUGUCAAAAAGUUCAACAUCCCAACCUUGGACCUAAAAGUCUUUGAUGACUCAAAGACUGAAGUUGAUGAGGAGGUUUUUGAUUUCCUUUUGAAUAAACCAAACCUUGGUGUGCUGGAAAUUUGUCUAGCACAAGAUCAAAAUCCAGAAGAUGAUUUUAUGGAUCAGCUGAGUUGUCCUGCAAGCAGCUCCUUUACCAGCUCCAGUGGAGAAACUGAAGUGGACUCUGAUGGCACCAUCACAUUGCAACC